rnacentral:rRNA from 1 species
UACGUAGGGUGCAAGCGUUAAUCGGAAUUACUGGGCGUAAAGCGUACGCAGGCGGUUUUGUAAGACAGAUGUGAAAUCCCCGGGCUUAACCUGGGACCUGCAUUUGUGACUGCAAAGCUAGAGUACGGUAGAGGGGGAUGGAAUUCCGCGUGUAGCAGUGAAGUGCGUAGAUAUGCGGAGGAACACCGAUGGCGAAGGCAAUCCCCUGGACCUGUACUGACGCUCAUGCACGAAAGCGUGGGGAGCAAACAGGAUUAGAAACCCUAGUAGU